GGGAUAAGUGGGUUUUCUCUAGGGUGGAUGAAUGGUAUGGUAGGGAUAGGUGGGUUUUCUCUAGGGUGGAUGAAUGGUAUGGUAGGGAUAAGUGGGUUUUCUCUAGGGUGGAUGAAUGGUAUGGUAGGGAUAAGUGGGUUUUCUCUAGGGUGGAUGAAUGGUAUGGUAGGGAUAAGUGGGUUUUCUCUAGGGUGGAUGAAUGGUAUGGUAGGGAUAAGUGGGUUUUCUCUAGGGUGGAUGAAUGGUAUGGUAGGGAUAAGUGGGUUUUCUCUAGGGUGGAUGAAUGGUAUGGUAGGGAUAGGUGGGUUUUCUCUAGGGUGGAUGAAUGGUAUGGUAGGGAUAAGUGGGUUUUCUCUAGGGUGGAUGAAUGGUAUGGUAGGGAUAAGUGGGUUCUCUCUCUGAAACG